rnacentral:rRNA from 1 species
ACUCAAAUGAAUAGACGGGGACCCGCACAAGCGGUGGAGCAUGUGGAUUAAUUCGAUACUAACCGAAGAACCUUACCCACUCUUGACAUUGAUGGUAAGCCCAAGAGAUUGGGCCCUCUCCCACAAGGAGACCUGAAAACAGAUGUUGCAUGGCUGUCGUCAGCUCGUGCCGUGAGGUGUACGGUUAAGUCCGCCAACGAGCGCAACCCUCGUCUUGUGUUACCAGCACGUAAUGGUGGGCACUCACAAGAGACCGCCGGUGUAAGCCGGAGGAAGGUGAGGAUGAUGUCAAGUCAGCAUGGCUCUUACGAGUGGGGCUUCACACAUGCUACAAUGGGCGCAACAAAGGGCCGCAAAACCGCGAGGUGGAGCAAAUCCCAAAAAUACGUCCUCAGUUCAGAUUGCAGUCUGCAACUCGACUGCAUGAAGGCGGAAUCGCUAGUAAACGCAGGUCAGCUAUACUGCGUUGAAUACGUUCCCGGGUCUUGCACACACCGCCCGU